rnacentral:rRNA from 1 species
CCCUUAGAUGUUCGGGGCCGCACGCGCGCUACACUGAAGGAAUCAGCACGUCUUUCUCCUUGUCCGAAAGGACUGGGUAACCCGCUGAACCUCCUUCGUGCUAGGGAUUGGGGCUUGUAAUUCUUCCCCAUGAACGAGGAAUUCCCAGUAAGCGCGAGUCAUAAGCUCGCGUUGAUUACGUCCCUGCCCUUUGUACACACCGCCCGUCGCUACUACCGAUUGGAUGGUUUAGUGAGAUCCUCGGAUUGGUCCCGGAGCGGCCUCUGGUCGUGCCGGAGUGCCGAAAAGAAUGUCGAACUUGAUCAUCUAGAGGAAGUAGAAGUCGUAACA